UUCCGUCCAAGGCUAAAUA
rnacentral:snRNA from 1 species